UCGACAGAAGAAGAAAAAGAAAUGAAACGACAAGGCGGUGGUGGGAUUGAAGAAGAAGAAGAAGAAGAAAUGAACCGACAAGGCAGUGGUGGACAACGGCUGAGAUCAGCUAGACCCACCACAAUUCACGAUUGUGCUCUCUCCGGUGGACAACGGCUGAGAUCAGAAGAAAUGAACGCAAUCUCGUCGUAUGUCCCCUUCCCCACUUUCUUUUCUUCUGUGUUGUGCUGAAUUCCAAAUUUGUUACUUAAAAAACUCCGAUUUCGAUAUGCGUUUGGUUCGGUACCGUAUCGAUUUAGACUAGUGAAUGAAUUUGAAGUUUUGAUGGUGAAUUUGCAUUCGAAUCUGGUGAAAUCGCAUGCCCUUUGGUUUUGACUCGUUGUCAAAGAUUACGCCUCCAAUAAUAUAUAGCGGUUUGGACAAUUGGGAUGUUGAUGGUCUCCUUGGGGCUGACUUGCUCUCUGAGAUCGAAAAACAGAUGUGCAACGAGACCAGAAUACUGCAUGUACACUAUUUGAAGAUGCUAGAAAUCUUAACAAGCGAGAUAAAGAAGGGGCAAAUAAAGAAAAAGUUUGAUGCUUAUAGCUUCUUUAAAGUAGAGCAGAGUAAAGUAGACAGAGUAUAUGAUAUGCUGAUUCAGAAGGGAAUAGGUGGCGAGUCAACAUGACUCAUUAGCUUCAUGGUCCCUAACAUGUAAUUCUCAAACAUAUAUUAGCCAUGUACAUAUAAAGGAAGGUGAUGCUGAUUUUGGUUCCACAUCUUGUGCUAUGUUAGUUUUGACAGCUUGGCAAUGUCUGAUUGUUAUCUCCUUGAAGAGUGGUGCUUUUAUUGAAGCUAAAGCUAGUAACGGUAUGACACCAUUGCACCUUGCGGUUUGGUACUCAAUUACUUCCAAAGAUAUCUCAACUGUUAAGACACUGCUCGACAAUAACGCAGAUUGCAGUGCCAAAGAUAAAAUCAAAAUGGGAAAAGUUUGGCACAAAUCAAAAUUAAAAUUAAUUAUUUUGUAAUCUAUUUUUAAUAUGCGUUUAUGUCAUGUUUGUUUAAACUUUUA